GGCAGACAUCCAAACCUAGAUUGGACCUCCAGGAGAGACGAGUGUGGCCACUGGGACGUGCCCAUUUAUGGACUUAAAGGUGCCCCAACCAACCUUCUUAUCAAGCCUCUCUUCCACCGCUACCACCUCUUAGCAAGCCUCUGGUGGGACGGGUUCAUCCUCUGCGCUGAGACUUAAUUAUGAUAUGCCACAGCAACGUCAGCCCCAAGUAUUGGCUGAGGUGGAGUCAACUUUAGCAGCAGUGAUGCAGCAUCAUAAUGCACAAGACUGCGCCCUACAGAACCUCGCAGCGCAGAUGAAGGCACUCCCUAAAGUUGUGGGCUGUGAGCUGCCACCUACUCGGGAUUUGCUGGUUAUAGACGGACAUGGAUCUACUCUGCAGCUUGCAUUAUUACACGCCAAGUGUGUGUUUCACUGUUUGAUAAUGGAAGGGAACCAACUCAAUACUUGGUGGAGGAAAAAACGUUGGCUGCAAUACAUCUGAAUCUGAACUGUGAUAAAGAAAAAUAACGUGACAGCGGAUGAAGUUUGUUCCCGAGAACAGGAAAAAAAAACAGUUGUGAUUCUGAUGUUGGUAAUAACAUGAGAUGUAUUCAUUAGGUAAUACUACAGAAAAUGUCUUAUUACCAAUAUGUUUCUUCAUAGUGUGAAUUUGAGGUUUGACUUGGAGUUUUGACAUGCUUUUGACAAAAGCUCUAAGAUUUGACCAAGAAUGGGAUUAAGUUUAUUGAAGACAUUUACACAGACACGUCUACUGAAGAAGUGGCAUAACUGUACUGUAGCUAAAUGUACAAUAGUACCAGUAGUUCCACUCCUCUAUUGUAGCUUUUGACUUGUCUGUAGUUACAUUUUUAUACAACAUUUGUUCUUCUUUAAAUGUUCUUUGUUUUUCUGGAAGUCCUGAUGAGAUUUGUACAAGCAGACUUGAAGCUACAGUACAACGUCUUCAUUUACGGAAGCCAACUGUGCGGCUCUUCUACUACUUCGUUAUUGAGUGUGCUCGCUUUCUCCGUCACCUCCUGGUUUAAUUCCAUUAGCCUGCAAAGAAAGAAAUCUGUCGGGACCCCUCACAUCCUAAGUCCCAUGUUCCAGUGGCUCCCAUCAGGACACAGACUCCCUGAUGCAGGACCCAAAUAGGAGAAACACUGUAAUCCCAGCAGUAGUUAUCCAUCAGAAUGCUGUCCUGUACAAUGACGCUUUUAAUUGAUCUUAUUAGUAAUAUUAAUUUUCCUGGAUGCUUUACCUUAAUUGGCCUUCAGGGAUAAAUAAUAGAGAUAAAGUGUUUUAAAUUGAAUUGAUCAAUACAUUAUAAAUACCUGAAAUACUUAUGUACACAUUAUUCAAAGAAAUAAAUUAAAAACAAAUCUAUGUUGUGAAGUUCA
rnacentral:lncRNA from 1 species